AUAAACGAGUACACGUCUGUAAACAAACAGGUUUGUAAACCGAAAACUCAAAAAAGCAAACAAACAAUUGAAAAAUGAUGUACUGGCAAAAUAUAAAACGAGAGGGUUGAUGCAGCUAUUAAUGAAGGUCAUACAAAAAGCAAUAAUCCUGAAGAUGUGCCAAUAGUUGUUGUAGUCUUUCAUAGUUGAAGCAAAAAAGUGGAACCAAAUCAUAAAGAUGUGAUACGGUAGGAAUCAGAUGAAGAAGAUUCAACAGAUAUCUUUGUUGUUUGACCUUCAUUAAUAGCUGCAUCAACCCUCUCGUUUUAUAUUUUGCCAGUACAUCAUUUUUCAAUUGUUUGUUUGCUUUUUUGAGUUUUCGGUUUACAAACCUGUUUGUUUACAGACGUGUACUCGUUUAUACUGCUUUGUUGUUUCUUUAGUCAGUUAUGAUGUAGAGGUAGUGAAAUGAGUAUGGAUAUGUUAUCAUUUCAUGCAACAUGUAGUACAGAAUGUAAUAUAAUAAUUAGAAUGCUGAUAUUUAUGCAUUUCAAAAUAUUUAAAUAACAUGGAAAAAGAUAGAAGGGGAGUGGAACAAAAUUCUGUUUAGGUUCCAUUUUUCUAAUCGUGUUCGUAAGAACAUAAAUUUGCAUAAACAUUUCCAUUCUAUAUAUAGUAUUUUAAGGAGAAUGUGUGCUUCGACUUGUUAUUUCGUUUUACAAUGUUUUAGGUUUAAUAGCUGACAUUUGAUAGGUCGCUUAUCUUGUCAUACUCACCUCACGCGAAAUGAUGUACUGGCAAAAUAUAAAACGAGAGGGUUGAUGCAGCUAUUAAUGAAGGUCAUACAAAAAGCAAUAAUCCUGAAGAUGUGCCAAUAGUUGUUGUAGUCUUUCAUAGUUGAAGCAAAAAAGUGGAACCAAAUCAUAAAGAUGUGAUACGGUAGGAAUCAGAUGAAGAAGAUUCAACAGAUAUCUUUGUUGUUUGACCUUCAUUAAUAGCUGCAUCAACCCUCUCGUUUUAUAUUUUGCCAGUACAUCAUUUUUCAAUUGUUUGUUUGCUUUUUUGAGUUUUCGGUUUACAAACCUGUUUGUUUACAGACGUGUACUCGUUUAUACUGCUUUGUUGUUUCUUUAGUCAGUUAUGAUGUAGAGGUAGUGAAAUGAGUAUGGAUAUGUUAUCAUUUCAUGCAACAUGUAGUACAGAAUGUAAUAUAAUAAUUAGAAUGCUGAUAUUUAUGCAUUUCAAAAUAUUUAAAUAACAUGGAAAAAGAUAGAAGGGGAGUGGAACAAAAUUCUGUUUAGGUUCCAUUUUUCUAAUCGUGUUCGUAAGAACAUAAAUUUGCAUAAACAUUUCCAUUCUAUAUAUAGUAUUUUAAGGAGAAUGUGUGCUUCGACUUGUUAUUUCGUUUUACAAUGUUUUAGGUUUAAUAGCUGACAUUUGAUAGGUCGCUUAUCUUGUCAUACUCACCUCACGCGAAAUGAUGUACUGGCAAAAUAUAAAACGAGAGGGUUGAUGCAGCUAUUAAUGAAGGUCAUACAAAAAGCAAUAAUCCUGAAGAUGUGCCAAUAGUUGUUGUAGUCUUUCAUAGUUGAAGCAAAAAAGUGGAACCAAAUCAUAAAGAUGUGAUACGGUAGGAAGCAGAUGAAGAAGAUUCAACAGAUAUCUUUGUUGUUUUCUGAAGAAGAGGAGAUCAAGCGUCUGUCAAGCAGGAACGAGCAGCGAUGGCAAUCGACGAACGAAAUUUUCACAAAGGAAACGAAUGAUUAGGCGAAAGAAAUUCAAGGAAACCAGCUUCAGCUCGACGUCCCGGAGAAACACACAGGAACUGAACGCGACCGCUCCUCACGAGUUAAAAAGUACCGAAGACACAAGACCGACCUAAGACUCUAGAUCAUAAUUCAUUUUUUAAAACAAUCCGUAGAUGUCAACGCAGCGAAUAUUUUGUUAAAAAUCAAGAACCAUUCCCAAGUAGAGUAGAUCUAUGUUGAAUGUUUCAAUUAUGUUUAAUGAUCGAUUAUGAUUGAAUUACUAGAGAUAAUGAAUACAUGUGUCAAAUUCUUCAUUGUAACUAUAAAUAUUUGUAAAUCUAUAUGUGCAAUCGUGAUAAUUUUUUUUUGAUGUAAAGUAUACCUUCAGCUUUUAACUUAAGAAUUUUCAACAUCAUUAAUUGUCUUCGAUGUAAAAUAAUAGUGUAAUAUAUAGUGUAAUAUAUAGUGUAAUAUAUAGUGUAAUAUAUAUAUAUAGUGUAAUAUACAAUAUAAUAUAAUAUAUAGUGUAAUAUAUAUAAUAAUAGUGUAAUAAUAGUGUAAUAUAAUUAGUUAUCACAGUUCUGUAUCAAGAAGGACCGGUUCUGGUCCUUGGACGGAUUGUAUCGGGGCAAAUUGAACAACGCAUGUAAGAGAAGAGAGGAUCCCGACGUUAUUGAAUCGCGUGGUGAAAUUUAAUUAGAGACGGCGUUAGAAGGGACUGUGUGCAUUAAUUGUGUUCUGUCUGACGACCUUGGUACGAGUGGUACACUCGUUAGGAUCACCUGAAAUAAACGAAAAUUAAAAUUAAAAAUAUACACGUGUAUUUUAUUGUAUUGUAUUUCCACGGUCAAUUGUACUCGUGUUAUUCAAUCUACCCUUUAUCGAAAUUUUAUUCGUAUAUUUUUCUGUACUUUUGCGAAAUUUAAUUGAAUUCUACGAAUAUAUGGGAAACGUUUUAAAAUCUGUUUCGUUGAAAACCCUUUAUCGAAAUUUUAUUUGAAUAUUUUUCUGUAAUUUUGCGAAAUUUGAUUGAAUUCUACGAAUAUAUGGGAAACGUUUGAAAAUCUGUUUCGUUGAAAACGACGCCUUCGACAUUUCGAUAGGUGAGAGCGAUAAAAUAAACAAUACUUGAUAUUAUAUUUGUACGGCAUCGAGCAUAUAGUAAAAUUAUUAGGAAAACAUUUAUCAGGAUUCAUUGUUAUCGAGAAAAUUAAAAUAAAAACAAUCCGCGAUUAUGAUACAGAAAAAUCUAUUAAAAAUAUUCGUGAUGAAUUCACAUCCCACGUCCUUUUAACAUAGUGUGUAACGUUCACUCAAUUUGCGAAAAAAAGAUUCCCUCAUUAACUCGCUAAAUCUCGUCUGAAAUACGGACGUCUCUGAUGAAUUUCGAGAUAAAAGGGGGAUAUUAACAGGAACGUUUUGUAUUGAAUAUUAUAAUAAAAAAUGUAGAUUAAGCGAAUUUUCUGCAAUUUCAUGCGGGAUGUACAAAUUUCGUCGUAUGAUCGAACACUCAAUUAUGCUGUUGUACUUUUUUCUCAGUUUUAAUCGUGAAAUACACAUUUUCUUUUUGUUUAAGCAUGAUCGUUCGAACACUAUAAUCGAGAAAAUAUUUAUUUAUGAUUUUCACAGAUGAUAUCGUAUGGAUCGCAUUAAUCUUUGAUUAUUCUCCGUCCGGCUAUAAAUUGUCCAUGGAUCAAGAUGUAUAGCUACAUAUAUCAUAAAGUAAGCUCGAUAUCCACGAAAAUAAGCGCGUUUAUAAUCGAACUCGCUAUUGGUCCACGAUUACGUGUCCAGAACAACGGAAUUUUAACGUCUGAUUCAAGGUCUCAUAUAGCAUGUGCUUCUUUUAGAAAUUAUUUAUGAAAAUAUUUGAAUAUUUCUAGAGAUUUUUAUGAACGUAUUACGUGUGUGAUAGAAAAAAUUUUGAAAUUUCGUUACUAGACUAUUAUGAUCAUAUUGAUAAUAUAUGUAACAAACUAAAGAACAUGUAUAGAAGUUACAAGAUAUUUAUUUCAAGCAUACAAUUCACAGAAAUCGCUAUAUCAUAUAAAAAUAUAUUGUAUUAUACAAGAAUAAUUAUACAUUUCUAGGAGACUUAAAUUCUUCUAUAUUAUAUGUGAUAAUAAAGAGUAAUGUCUGCGUAUUUGUACGAUAUAAUACAUUUUAUCAAUAUAACCACGACAGUCGACAAUGACAAUAAAACUGUCGUAAUAUAUAUCCAGACAAAUUUUCUACGAUGGGCCCUCAGAUGCUUUCGUGCGUUAUCGUACCUACUUACAUUCUACGCGAAAUCGAUGACGGAGAAAGUACCGGAUGUUCUGAACUCGCUCGCGACAGAUUUAUACGCGCAAUCCGACAGUCUGAAUAAAUUCGAUAUAUUGCCGGGAUACAAAUGACAUGGGGUCCUAGCAACAUUUUCCAAUUGACGGGAAAUCGAAAUGUAAAAAAAAGGAUCCCGACGAAGGAAGGAAAGAUUUUUCUCAUCUAUAUUUGGAAUAUUCAUGGAUUGUUAGUUUUUACCAUUCCAGCUUUGUCGCAAUUUAUUUCCAACUUACUGGACAUUCAUUUUGAUUUAUUAUAUAUAUUUAGACGCGGAAUACAAUGGGUAGCAGAUGGCUUUUUCAAGAUGUAUGAAUCAUAACCACAAGAAGUACAAUUAAAUAUUUAUCCCUUCCGUGUUAGUAAGCUGAUGAAUCUUUUGAUUGUGGCUUGCAAGAAUAAUAGUAGAUUAGUUUAAUUCUACCCAGUUAAUUAUUCAUAUAGAAAUAUGUUUUUACAAAAUUUAUGCUAUGAAAUUUUGAAUACAUUUUAUAUUUUACGAGAGGAAACUUUCGACACGUCUUGUCCAUCUGAACGUUUCUCAAACGUGCACGAAAUCUUUUUCCAUUUUAUUCGACGUCAGAGAUCCUUUUUUUUAACGUCGGUCUUAAAUGGUACAUUAGAGAUAAUAUAUACACAUAUUGUACUUUCUUACCAAAAUAUCGCCCAGAUCCAACGAAAACAUAUAGUUAGUGGAUGUAUUUCUUGCUGCCGAAUCUGUACCCAACGUAAUCAUCAUCAGUCCAUUUCCAAAUACACCCACUAUUAGGAUUAUUAAAAAUAAUCCUGGUACUAUAUAGGUUUCUGGGCGAUGUAUAUAUGGAAUGUAACCACCCUCCUGAACCAAAUUCGUCACAUUCAUAUUCAUGGCCAUCUGUAAAAGAAUAAAUCCACGUCUAUGCAUUAUGUAUGUAACUAUGCGUUAUGUAUUUUAUUUUCAUUUUCAAACGUUGUAUAAAUAAAUAAGUCUCUUUUA